AGCGAACGCUGGCGGCGUGCCCAACACAUGCAAGUCGAACGUGAAAAGGGAAACCUGAGUAAAGUGGCGUACGGGUGAGUAACGCGUAGGUAAUCUACCCCAGAAUCUGGAAUAACCUGCCGAAAGGCGGGCUAAUACUGGAUAGAGCGAGGGAACUCGUAAGAGAGUUUUUCGGGAAAGGGAGCCCGCAAGGGCCUUCGUUCUGGGAUGAGCCUGCGUCUCAUUAGCUAGUUGGUAAGGUAACGGCUUACCAAGGCGAUGAUGAGUAGCUGGUCUGAGAGGAUGAUCAGCCACAAUGGAACUGGAACAACGGCCAGGCUCCUACGGGAGGCAGCAGGGGGGAAUCUUGCGCAAUGGACGAAAGUCUGACGCAGCCACGCCGCGUGAGUGAAGAAGGCCUUCGGGUUGUAAAGCUCUGUCGGAUGGGACGAACAUCUUCAUAGUGAAUAGCUAUGAGGACUGACGGUACCAUCAAAGGAAGCACCGGCUAACUCCGUG
rnacentral:rRNA from 1 species